rnacentral:rRNA from 1 species
UACGUAGGUGGCAAGCGUUGUCCGGAUUUACUGGGCGUAAAGAGCGCGCAGGCGGUCGUUCAAGUCGCGUGUGAAAGCCCCCGGCUCAACUGGGGAGGGUCACGCGAUACUGAUCGACUCGAAGGCAGGAGUGGGUAGUGGAAUUCCCGGUGUAGUGGUGAAAUGCGUAGAUAUCGGGAGGAACACCAGUGGCGAAGGCGACUACCUGGCCUGUUCUUGACGCUGAGGCGCGAAAGCUAGGGGAGCAAACGGG